rnacentral:snRNA from 1 species
GUGCUUGCUUUGGCAGCACAUAUACUAAAAUUGGAAUGAUACAGAGAUCAGCACUGCCCCUGCUCAAGGAUGACAUGCGUAUUUGUGAAGAGUUCCAGUUUUUU